CGGUGUCCUGAUGCACCGAUGUUCUGGCAAAAGAUUGAAGUCAUUCUUUGUCCAAGCUUCAGGAUGCUCUUUCUUCCAGCCAGUGUGGAGACUCCUGAGAAUCUCAUGCGAGUUUCUCUAUCUCAGAUUUCAGUAGAGAGUUCUCAUGCCGCUCCUGCACCGCCUGUGGGGAACUUACAGUUUCAUGAUAGUUCAAUGUUCAAAAGAUGCGAGAGCAAAUGAAACUGGCUAGUUCUUUGAAUGGGUACCUUGAUCUGGGUUCGUCGAUUUUGAAACCAGAACUUGACCUGCCUGGCAGAAAGGCCUAGCUGCUUGCUCAACUGCUGCCUCUGC